GUUAUCUGACGUUGGCAAUAAAUGAGAGAGGAAUGAGAGGACCGGUUGCUAGAACUGGCAAAACUGUUUCAGAAGUAAAUCUACUUUCACGUCUGUCAGCAGCGUAGCCUCCAACACUAUGUUACGGUAACAUUAAACACACUGCUGAGCCUGGAAAGUGUAGUGAAAAAUGGGAGGGUUAGCAAGUCUGGUCUCCGAGAGGAAGUGAUGAGAGCUAUUUUUAUUAUUAUUUAAGUCAUGUAAUGUCACAACCUCUUGACCGUGACCCUGGAUGGUGGCUGUGUGUGUAUGAGUGGCUUUGAUUUGAUUUUUGCCUUUUGGGUGUUUGCUGUGUGCUUGGUGGGUUUUCUCUUCCAUGUCUCCUGGAGUUGGUGGUCGUGGUCUCCGGCUCAAUUUGGCUGUGGCACACCUGUACUCAAGCACCUGAUCUGCAUUCCCUCAUCACCGCACACUACUUAAACCUGGCCAGCUCUACAGUUCUUGCUGGAUUGUUGUGUUACCUGAGAGAUUCACCCUGUCCCCCUGGAUUACCGGUCUUCCCAGUCAGUCUGCACGGUUGUCUGGAUUUACCCCCACCUUCUCUUACCUGCCAGCUCCCACAACUUCUCCCUCCUCAAUGGAACCUGGACCUAUCCCCGACCCCCUCCUCUGCUCAUUCAUUCCUAUCUGUUUGCUAUUUUCCAAAUAAACCUCUAAACACCAUCA